rnacentral:lncRNA from 1 species
GCCAGAUUCUCUGGGUGCUUUCUUCUUUCUUAGUUCCCCCUUUAUUGUGGGCCCUCCUCAGUGCCAACAUUGCUUUGUCUCUCGCUGGAGAAGCCUGUGAGAACGAGGAUGGGCAAAGUGUCAGGCUCUUGGUGCAGCUGAAAAUCCUUUGAGAUGGAAGAAAUGGCUGGAACAAAGGGGCAGAGGAACAAAAAGCCCUGAACUGCUUCGCCCCUGCCUCGUGGGGUCUUUAUCAUCUUAAACCUUGGGAUUUGGGCUUUGAUCAACUCGGCCUUCCUGGGCCUCGGGGAGAGAGACGGACUGCCUCCGGGUGCUCAUGACCUUUCCAGCAGUAAGCCAAUAAUGUAUGACUCCUGCGUUGCCGUUGCUCGUUUGAGGAACAUCUGUCCAGUCCCUGGGAUGGUGAGGCUAUAACCACAAAGGAAUAAGAGAAGACGACUAGUUUUGUAAUGGCUUUGAAUGAUGCAUUGGCCCACGUGGACCACCUUCCAUUUCCCAAGACUUUUUGAAGGCAAUGAAUGAGAAGAAAGCAGAGAAAACAGUGGGCGUGAGGUCAGAUGACUCAGGCUUGAGUACUGAUCACAUCAAGGAUUGGACGCACUGCUCUUAGGAAGGCACAACUUCUACUACUUUCAGUCUUAUCAACUGUGAGAGGAAGAAGAAGCAAAGCACACCAUUGAUGUGUGUGGGUUUGAUGUAGCAUCUUCUAAGAGGUCUACAAAGAGACAUUGCAAAGCCAGGCCUCUAAAUGAUUCCUCUGUGAAACAUUGGGCCAAACAUUCCGUAACCCCUUCCUGCUCUGGUGAUCAUGUAAGUAGAUAUUCUGGAAGCACUUGCUCUACAGAUGGAGAAUUGUCACCAUCUGCCAGGACAGCUCCUGCUCAUCUUUCAUGACUCAGCUCACAUGUCAUAACUUCAAGGGGCCUUCAGCUCUCUGGCCCUUCCUGCCCCAUGAAGGCUCUACCCAGUGCCCCCAACUUUGCUCCUUCGGCUGCAUUUGAAGCAUUUACCUGUGCUUGUUAAUUGUUGGUGGAAUUGUCUGUAGACUGUGACCUUGAGUGUGCAGAGUCUUGUAGAGUCAUCUCUGGAUUCCCCACUCUGAGAACCACGCUUGGCCAUUGCAGGCUCUCAACAAAGGCUUGCUGAGGGGAUGAAUGAAUGAAUGUAUGGAUGGCAUGAAUGUAUGGGCUCUGGUGAAUUUUUUGCCCACAUUUUGCUGGCCAGCGGCUGCAUUGGGUCUGCACACUGAACCCUUUGGCUCAAGGUAUCAGAGCUGCUCUCCUUCCAGUGAAGACUUGGAUGGAAGACUUGAGAUGCAGGUUAUGGGGAUACGUGUCACCUCUAUUCCUCAUUCAGAAGGAUACAUACCUCACUGGACCAUAAAAAAUGAGAACUGAAUUAUCUGAGUGUUUGAAUAAACUUCCACCUUGUUACUCCACUACAGUCUGAGAAAACUUCACUGCACAAAUAGAGGCAGUGUACACCCCUCACAGACACUUUCCUUUCUCCUGUUGAGAGGUGAAGCCAGCUGGACUUCUGGGUCGGGUGAGGACUUGAAGAACUUUUUUGUCUUACAAGAGGUUUGUAAAAUGCACCAAUCAGUGCUCUGUAAAAACGCACCAAUCAGCGCCCUGUGGCUAGCUAGCGGUUUGUAAAAUGCACCAAUCAGUGCCCUGUAAAAACGCAGCAAUCAGCACUCUGUGGCUAGCUAGAGGUUUGUAAAAUGGACCAAUCAGCACUCUGUAAAACAGACCAAUCAGCACUCUGUAAAAUGGACCAAUCAGCAGGACAUGGGUGGGGACAAAUAAGGGAAUAAAAGCUGGCCACCCCAGCCAGCAGCAGCAACAACACGGUCGCGUCCCUUUCCACGGUUUGGAAGCUUUGUUCUUUUGCUCUUUCCAAUAAAUCUUGCUACCCUUCACUCUUUGGGUCUGUGCCACCUUUGAGAGUUGUAACACUCACUGCGAAGGUCUGCGGCUCCAUUCUUGAAGUCAGUGAGACCUUGAACCCACCGGAAGGAACAAACUCCAGACACAGUGUGCGUGAAAAAAAUACCAUGUGAAACCAUAAGAUACCAUUGGCUCCCUUCUCUAAAGAGACUGAACCCUGCCUUCAAUAUCAAAGGCUCCCAUGACCAGAUCAUUGAACCAUUCUAGAGACUUCAAAUCCAUUGAGAUGGGAUUAAUGCCUUUGCCUACUCAGGCAGAGGACAGACUGACCAUUGCAAGUGUUCAUCAGCAUUUUCCUGCUCUUAGACGGAAAGGCCAAGGCCACCCCAAGCAUGCUGAAAUUAAUGGGCCAUCGUCAGGAAGGAGUUCACAACUGUAUAUGGAGCCAGAACAAAUGGAGAGACCUCGUUCAGUCGAUGGAUGGUAGCAACAAGGAAGAAAGCAAAUGGAGAAAUGACAUCUCAUGACCCAGGUGAAGCCUACUGUUACUAUUUGGCUAAAAUAAGCCACAUAGCUUGUGUUGAAGAAUCUUUUUUAUUUCUUUAAGAAGAAUUUGGUGCCCAUGAAAGUGAUCAAAGUUUUUUGUUCUCCAGUGACAUCAAGCAGGAGAAAAGGAUAUACUCUCCAUUGUGUGGUCUGUGGACUGGCAGCAUCAUCAUGGGUGAGAAAUGAAAAACGUGGGGUCUUCCCUCACAUGGAUCAGUAUCUGCAGUUUCACAAGCUCCCGAGGGGUGAGUGCACAUGAAGGAUUGAGUAUUGCUCCAAAUAACCAGACCAACAAGUGCUCCCAGGUGAAUGCUGCUAUCAACCCCAUUUUACAACGUGGAAACUGAAGAAUUGAGAUAGUAACUGCACCAAGAUCUCACAACUGGGGUAAAAAUCCAUGCAGCAUGGCCCUAGAUGAACAUAAUCUGAAAGACUGGGCUCCACGCCUCAAGGUGAGGAGAAAGAAAGGUAACUUCCUGAAGUCACAAAGCUAGGGAACACAGGGUGGCUACAUAAACCCACACAGCCUGCUGCAAUGUCCUCCACACGUCCUUUCUGAGGCACAUUCAUCAAAGGGAUGAAUAAGGUCCCGAGCAGCACCGAAUAUGCAUUUGAUGUUUGUCUUCCUGAAAGAUUACCUGUAAAUGACCCAUGUAAAAUGUUUAGCUGUCCCUGGCCGGCAGAAGGCACACACCCCCAAAAGGAGGCAAUGGAAACCAGUUCUCUAGCUCCUUUCUCUCACAAUAAAAAGGACCAAUAAUCUUUAAACAUCCAGAAGUUCUUUCUGUCUUGGAAAAGGCCUUCCAACAGGCCAGCAAGAGGAAACCAUAAAUCCUCCACGUUGAGCAAGAAACGUCUGCUUCAUAAAGGUAAAUUCAAUCUCAACUUUGAAGUAUAAAAAGUGAAGUAUGAGAAGUCAACGUAAGCCAACGACAAGGGAUCCCAGACAGCAGCAGGCGGGGAGCUUGGGCGGCAGGGCCACGGGCAGGCACAAAGACAGCCACAGAUCAGCUGCAGCCAGGGAGGCCGCUGGCCGGAGUCAGAUCAGAUCUGGCUGCCGGCGAUAUUGCCUCUCCAGGAGACAAAGCCAGGCGGCCACCGGAACCCACGGGUGGCUGCACAUCUGGAAAGCGGAGCCCCGGGAUGAAUUAUGCAUGGAUUACCUUGCACUUGCGCAGGAAUGUCUGUUUAUUCACAGCAGAGGAGCAGAGACAAGGAAACCUGUUUCACACCUGGCAUUUAAUUUAGAAGGGAUUGCUUCUCCGGCUGAAGGAAAAGCCAUCUGAACUGCGCAGUCCUGGCUCUGCACUGGGGUUCCCGCAGCCAGCGCGUUAUGUGCCUUAUGAAACCUAGAGCCUUAUUUUUCAAUGCACUCUGUAAGACUGUGUGUGCGUGCACGUGGUGGUGGGGGUGGUGAGUGUACAAAUGUGUGUGCACAUAGCCACUCCUAUGGGUGUAAGCACUGGACAUGGCCCACAUGGCAGGCACCCAAAGCAUAUCCGGCCCAAUCUCUAAGUGUCCCCCACCCCUUUUCGGCUUAGCUCCAUAAAAGUCACGAGGGACAGGGCGGGUGGCUCA